rnacentral:rRNA from 1 species
GAUGAACGCUGGCGGCGUGCCUAAUACAUGCAAGUCGAGCGAACAGACGAGGAGCUUGCUCCUCUGACGUUAGCGGCGGACGGGUGAGUAACACGUGGAUAACCUACCUAUAAGACUGGGAUAACUUCGGGAAGCCGGAGCUAAUACCGGAUAAUAUAUUGAACCGCAUGGUUCAAUAGUGAAAGACGGUUUUGCUGUCACUUAUAGAUGGAUCCGCGCCGCAUUAGCUAGUUGGUAAGGUAACGGCUUACCAAGGCAACGAUGCGUAGCCGACCUGAGAGGGUGAUCGGCCACACUGGAACUGAGACACGGUCCAGACUCCUACGGGAGGCAGCAGUAGGGAAUCUUCCGCAAUGGGCGAAAGCCUGACGGAGCAACGCCGCGUGAGUGAUGAAGGUCUUCGGAUCGUAAAACUCUGUUAUUAGGGAAGAACAAAUGUGUAAGUAACUGUGCACAUCUUGACGGUACCUAAUCAGAAAGCCACGGCUAACUACGUG